rnacentral:lncRNA from 1 species
AAAAUAAGGAGCAAUAUGUGUAUAAAGUUGUCUAUCACUACGUGUCGUUAUCAUUGUUGAGGUGGGGCUUCGAUAUCGAUGAGGGUACUCAGAACAAGAUUUUUCUAUCAGUUAGCUCAGGUAUAUAUAAAGCCCACCACGUAGUCGACUGUUUAUUAGUGUUCUGAUUACUUUUUUUUACAUAAGAGGUUUUCUAACAUUCGUAUCGUACCGUAUAUGCAGAAAGCAUCUUUGCGGUUUUAUGUGAGUGGAACGUUUAAAGAGUGAUAAAGAUCUUUAGUAUUUGUUCACAAAAUAAUUGCGAUUGGUUCUUCUGGGAAGCUCCCAAGUGUCGGUGAAAUUAACUAGUGACAAUUUGAAAUAAUUCUUUGGUAGUUCUUGACUUUAGUUUUGUUACAUUUUGUUGCUGCGGGCGUCAGAUUCAUAAUAUAUGAUUUCACAUAUCGAUUAGAAUUGGAAUAUGUUGAUAAAAUUGUGAUCCUACAUAAAUUUCUAGGUGAGCUGGCAAAAAGAAGUUGAUUUCCUUCGUUGAUACUGCAUGGGCGUUGCAUGGGCUGUGAUCUGCAUGACUUGCAGUUGGAAGUGAGGAUCUAGGCAGUGAGCAGCAGCGCUCUGAUAACUUGCCAGAUCUAACUCUUCCAGCUCAAGGUCUUGUUGAUUAUCAUCUUUUCGUAAGAAAUGGAUAUUUCUCGUCAUAUCAAAAUCGAUAUCCAAAUCGAAAUUCAAACGAAACAUCAGAAUUGAAUAAUAUAUAGAAGAAAAGGGUUCAUGGUUCAAGUGGAGAAGUGGUCUCUACGCUUUGAAUUAAAGUGAGAUUCAACUCCUCCAACUUAAUCCUGAUCCCUGAAGUUCCUCGUUUCUUUAUUCUUUUCUUCUCUAUCUGCAGAAUAUCUUUUCGCUAUAGAUGUAUCAGUAAUGUAAGUGAAGAUAAGUGAAGCUUUCGUGGAAUCAUUCUAUUGGCGCUUCUUAAUACCUUGCUGGACAGGCAUGUUGCAAUAGCGAUAAAAUCUUUUAAAACGGUUCUUAUCGUGAAAGCGUUUAACUGCGUAUAAUUGUUCGUGCGAUUCAAUUUAGUCGAUAAUAUUCUUUGUGCGUUAUAAAUAUACUUUCUUUACGAA